rnacentral:rRNA from 1 species
AUUGAACGCUGGCGGCAUGCCUUACACAUGCAAGUCGAACGGCAGCACGGGGACAACCCUGGUGGCGAGUGGCGAACGGGUGAGUAAUGCAUCGGAACGUGCCCAGUAGUGGGGAUAACUAGUCGAAGAUUAGCUAAUACCGCAUACGACCUAUGGGUGAAAGCGGGGACCGUUUACCGUCCUCGCGCUAUCGGAGCGGCCGAUGUCUGAUUAG